rnacentral:rRNA from 1 species
UACGUAGGGGGCUAGCGUUGUCCGGAAUCAUUGGGCGUAAAGAGCGCGUAGGCGGCCAGAUAAGUCCGGUGUGAAAGUCAAAGGCUCAACCUUUGAAUGCCGCUGGAGACUGUCUGGCUAGAGUCCGGGAGGGGCGAGUGGAAUUCCUGGUGUAGCGGUGAAAUGCGCAGAUAUCAGGAGGAACACCAAUGGCGAAGGCAGCUCGCUGGAACGGUACUGACGCUGAGGCGCGAAAGCGUGGGGAGCGAACAGG